AUGCGUCGAUGAGAUAAUCGAGAUACGAGAAAUAAAUCGACGGCGAAAAGCUCGCUUCUCCUACGGGAACUCAGCCGCGGGAAUUCUAGAAAUACUUUAACCACGGAACCGGCGGAGAAAAACCGACAGGGGCGACUAAUUGAGUUAAUAAGGCCUGGCAUCAAUUACGAAGCUCGUGGUUUCUAUUUUCAUGGUGUUAUUAGAAAAAAAAACUGACGCGAAAAAUUGCAAUUAAAGUUGCGUGUUUUAUGUGAAUCUGAUAUGUAGAUAGCUUAAAGAAAAGAGAGGGCAGACCUUCCGGACGGAUUCUUGAUAUCUCCACAUAGGGGAGCAUGGUGCCAGCAACACCCUCGUGGCCAAGGAAAAAAUUUUAUUCAUCUGAUAACACUGAAGGCCAUCAAAAUUUUCAACACGAUCCGGUUGUUCUAGAACACGCUAGAAUUCGCCGUUUCGAAAGGCGGUUAUUGAAGAAAAUUCCGGAAGGAUCGUUCACCGGGACUCUAAAUAUACCGAGCGUGUGCAUAGUUCCGUCGUGGAAUCUCGACCGUAUGAACAAAGUUGAACAGUAUCCGCGUGUAUGUACACGUUCCUCUUUCUACGAUAUCUCAUGCGAGGAAUGAGCCGGUUGUCAUGCACGAAAACACGCGGAACUCGCGGAACUCGCGGAUAAAGAGUGCACACGUUUGCAGAUGGCAGCGUUACAAGAGCCGGUAAUAUAUUCCUCUUUUUCAUCUUUAAGACGCACACGGUGAGUCAUCGAUCUUGAUCGUGUUAAAAGAUAUCUUCCUCGCACAUUACUAAAUGAAGAAAAAGAGGAAAAUAGACUAUCUGGACUUGCAACAUGUCUAUUCAAAGGAGUAACAUCAGGAACAAUAAGAGCAGCUCGUCGAUGACGAAGACCAAACAAAUCAUCGGAUAAGUCGUUUGACGAGAGGAAAGCAUUCUACAACACUCGCGAGGUAGAACCGAUCUAUUCCGAGCAACGAUGCAACGAUCGAAGACCAACGAAGGCCGAAAGCUGAUCACCGAUAGAAGAGGCAGCUCUCCAUUUUGUCGGGACGAUUCUUCAGCUCCCCCGUUUGUUCUUUUCCUUCGUUGACUCACGAAUUUGCAUGAACGAGAUUCCUCCCUGCCGCGCCCUGGAAACCGGACGUUUCAAGGUCUCAUCGUAGGAAGGGCAAGUUCAAGGCGAGCCACCAAAACGGAAAACCAUUUUCGUCAACGAGAUAGAGAACGAAUUAGAGCUGAUUAGAGACAGUUACAGACCAUUUAUGUCGCGUAAAAGUUAAUGACCGCGCAUCAUCUUUGAUUAAGUAGGUAUGGAAGAAAAAAGAGAAACUAUCUUCACGGUUUUUAUAAUUUGUUACAAUCCUAUUCAUGGAAUCACCCGAGUUUCCAACGUUUCUCGUACGCUCAUCAAUGGAUUCUAACCAGUUCAUUAUGAAACCCGAGUUAUAUUUAAUCGUUAGACUACGCCCGCGGUAAUUGCCAAGCAUCCGAUGUGUUAGCAAACGUAUUAAUUGACCUCUUUCAUUAAGCGGUAUACUUACUAUACCAUUCUGUACGUGUUGGAAUAAAAGGUAAUGAACGUUUCUUGCUCGGAAACGAUCCAGCUAAUAAUUAACAUACUGUCUCGAUUAAUCUAAUCCUGAUUUUACUAAUAAAGUCUCUGAAGUGGUUAAAAUUGUCGA